AUGGCCUGUCCUCCUGCCCUCCUCCUCUUCCUGCUAGCUCAGUACCCAGGCUCCUGGGCGCAGACUGGACUGACGCAGGAAGUCUCAGUGUCAGGGUCUAUGGGAAAGACAGUCACCCUCUCCUGCACUGGAACCACCACCAACGUCCAUGCCUAUAGUACAGGCUGGUACCAGCAGAUUCCUGGUGCUACCCCCAAAACUGUGAUGGUUGGAAGUACUCAACCUACAGGGAUCCCAGCUUGGUUCACUGGUUCGAAAUCUGGAAACAAGGCGACUCUGACCAACUUAGGCGUGCAGCCUGAGGAUAAGGCUGAUUAUUACUGUUCUACGUGGGACUACAGUAUCAACAGUGUCAUAGUGCUUCAGACUCAAGAGGAAAUGAGACAAAAACUCAGCCCUGAUCUAAGUGAUUCCCCCCAUGACAACCGGUCAAACAGGAAAUAG